rnacentral:misc_RNA from 1 species
AACCUAGCACACCUGCGGUGUGUACCUGCGGAGGGAUCAUUACAAGUGACCCCCGGAUUACCUCCGGGAUGUUCAUAACCCUUUGUUGUCCGACUCUGUUGCCUCCGGGGCGACCCUGCCUUCUGGCGGGGGCCCCGGGUGGACAAAUUCAAACUCUUGCGUAACUUUGCAGUCUGAGUAAAUUUAAUUAAUAAAUUAAAACUUUCAACAAUGGAUCU